rnacentral:misc_RNA from 1 species
GGUGUAUAAGGGACAGGUGAGUCAUCGAAUCUUUGAACGCACAUUGCGCCCACUGGUAUUCCGGUGGGCAUGCCUGUCUGAGCGUCAGUAUAAUCUCAAGCAAACGCUUGGUAUUGGAAGAUGAUCUGCCUAGCAGUUCCCUUCUUAAACUGAUUGGCAAGUUUACAUAGCAGCAAGCGUAGUAGAAAUACCAUCAGCUUAGUUACUCUGUAUAGCUUUGUCAAAAUCAAACUAUUUUAAGGUUUGACCUCAGAUCAGGUAAGGAUACCCCCUGAACUUAAGCAUAUCAAUAAGCGGAGG